AAGCGAUGAAAAAUUGUACAAUGUCGAUUACUAGUAUUUUAGUGUAAAAUUGAGUAUUGGUGGAUAUACCAAAUAUAAUUGAGGUAUGAUUAAGGUCUCAUUGAUGAGGUAAAAAUUGUUUUAGAACCAUUAGAUCAAGUCUUGAUGGGAGGUAUACGUAAUCAGUGGUGUUGACGCAAAGUCAAAACGAGCUUAGCAUAAGUGCGCUACGCUCAAUCGGGUAAGCAUAACUAUUGGGUAUGAAAUCAUAUGGACCUAAGGUUUGGUGUGAGUGUUUCACACAUAAGUAUAAUGUGCCUAGCUGAUGAUUAAGUCUAAAUUAUUGAAGUGAUAAGGUUUUCAUAAGUCAAAAAGUGUAAGGAUAAGGUGAAAGGUGUCAAAUUUUGAUACAAUAAGGCCAAAUCAUUGAAAAUAAAGGAUUGUCAUCAACCUUAUUACUUUCCACGACCAAGACUCUAAAAAACAAAGAGAAAAGAAAACCAAAAACCAUUUCUUGGCUGGCUUCAAGAGAUUCUAAGGAGAUCCAAGUGAAAUCAAAGCUAAAGAAGUGGAUUAAACUUAGUUCUGGCCUUUUUAUGAUAUUUCUUGGUGGUUUCCAAGUGGUUUGAGGGUUAGAAAAGCUUGAAGAGAUUGUUUUCGCCGAAAAGUUGCUCGGUAGAGAAAGAAAUGAGUGAAUGACAAAGGAGAACUGAAGCAUGGUCCUGACCCUGAUUUGUACAUAUGAACAUAUCGACCUUUUGUGGGUUAUUUCAGUUUAUCAGUGUGUAUGUUUGUGAUAAAGUGUGAAAUUAUGUUUUGAAAACAAAUUGGGUUAUUUAAUACUUAUGUAUAAUAUGUUUGAGACACACUUUAUGUUUAAUGUAAAUAAUGUGAAAUAAGUUUUCUUUAAAAAAAAAAUUCAGACUUCCGCCGAAAGUAAUUAUGAUAUAGUUUUAAAAUGUAACACCUCAGAUAUGCUUUUAACUAAAAUAAGUGAGGGUGUUACACUACUCAUCAGUCACUCAUCUGGUUAAAAUUAGUGACUUGCUCAUCAGUCACUCAUUAUGGUUAACAGAACCUCAAGUGUUAAAUCACUCAUCUGAUUAGGAUUGACUUGAGAGUCAUCCAUUCAGGAGGGCAGGAUUACUCGUCAUGAACCCCCAUCAUUAUCUGAACUUAUUUGCAUGCAUGAAUAGGGCUAUCAUUUCUAGGCAUGCACAUUAUGUUUUGUAACAUGUUAUUACUGUUCAUGAGUAUAUUGAGUUUUCUUGCUGGGCUUCGGCUCACGGGUGCUAUGUGGUGCAGGUAAAGGCAAAAGAAAGCUGGACCAUCCUUGAGUUGGAGAGCUUAGGUGAUGAUGUGUACAUAUGCAGCUGCUCGACCGCCACGGCCAAGGGUUUAAAGAGGAACUAGGGUUAAACCCUAUUUUUUCGCUUAGAUCGACUGGUUGUAACUAUUUUCUUGUAAUUAACCUUUAAAUUAUAUUUUUGGGAUCUCAAUGUAUACAGUAAACGUUUUAGGGAAACGUUAUAUCUUAACCAAAAAA